rnacentral:rRNA from 1 species
ACUUUUGUUUAUUUGAUUGAGAUUGAUUCUGUCUUUUUUAAUUAGCUAUUUUGAUAAUAUUAAAUACAAAUUUUUGUGUGAUUUAUUGUUUAUCUAAAGGAUAAAUUUUAUUUUUACUUGUA